rnacentral:rRNA from 1 species
GAAACGCUGGCGGCGUGGAUUAGGCAUGCAAGUCGGACGGUAGGCUUUAUCGUAAGAUAGAGUUUGAGAGUGGCGAACGGGUGAGUAACACGUAGGAAUCUACCCUUAAGACGGGGACAACCCAGGGAAACUUGGGCUAAUACCGGAUGAGAGUGCGAGAGAUUGCAUUUAAAAGGAUGGCGAAAGUUAUCGCUUAGGGAUGAGCCUGCGGUCUAUUAGUUAGUUGGUGGGGUAAGAGCUCACCAAGGCGAUGAUAGAUAGGCGGCCUUAACGGGUGGUCGCCCACACUGGGAUUGAGAUACGGCCCAGACUCCUACGGGAGGCAGCAGUCGAGAAUAGUCUACAAUGGUCGGAAGACUGAUAGUGCGACGCCGCGUGAACGAUGAAUCCCUUCGGGGUGUAAAGUUCUUUUAUAUGUGAGCAGUGCUUCUUAUAUUAACAGUAUGGGGAGAGAGAUAUUAGCAUAUGAAUAAGCAACGGCUAACUCCGUG